AGCGAACGCUGGCGGCAGGCUUAACACAUGCAAGUCGAGCGGGCAUCCUUGUGGUGUCAGCGGCAGACGGGUGAGUAACGCGUGGGAACGUGCCCUUCGUUUCGGAAUAACUCAGGGAAACUUGAGCUAAUACCGGAUACGUGCGAGAGCAGAAAGGUUUAUCUGCCGAAGGAUCGGCCCGCGUCUGAUUAGCUAGUUGGUGAGGUUACGGCUCACCAAGGCGACGAUCAGUAGCUGGUCUGAGAGGAUGAUCAGCCACACUGGGACUGAGACACGGCCCAGACUCCUACGGGAAGCAGCAGUGGGGAAUAUUGGACAAUGGGGGCAACCCUGAUCCAGCCAUGCCGCGUGAGUGAUGACGGCCUUAGGGUUGUAAAGCUCUUUUCUCCGGGACGAUAAUGACGGUACCGGAGGAAUAAGCCCCGGCUAACUUCGUG
rnacentral:rRNA from 1 species